CACAAUGGGCGAGCCUUGGCUGGGGAGCCCUCGGGCUCGCCGGGUUUCCGAGUGUCCCGGUCUGCUAACCCUGCCCUGUGCUCGCCCACCCGA
rnacentral:antisense_RNA from 1 species